GUGAGACUGUGAAUUCUUCAAAAGCAGGUACUGUGUUUAAUGAAGUGUGCCCAGGACUUUGCUCAGUGACUGGAUGACACAGUAGGAGUAACAAGAAAGUUCACAUGGGUGAACCGUGGUAGGUGGACAUCGUCUCUCUCACCUCUUCCCAAAUCAAGGAUGAAGUACAUCUUCAUAAAUCCUCAUGUGAAUUAUUUUGCUACCUCUAGAAGCAUUUUCUAAAACAAGGUGCAGCAAUCAGUUGAGUGAAUUUGUCACCAGAGCUUAUGUUUUCUGAAAGAACCCUAUCCUCAGGCAGUUGUUCCUAAGAGGUCAGGCUGCAUUUGUAUCCUGGGUCCACAAGACAUCGUUUCCUUAAAACCAAUCCCCCUGAUUUUGCUAAGUGUCUGCAAGCCUAAUAUUUCAUGGAUGUUUGACAAGGACCCCGUCUUUAGCUGAACUAAGGAGAAAGUCCUGCAACACACACAUGGAGCUCAGCAAACGGAGGAUGUAGUAGGACCCCACUGGAAAUCGGACUGUUCAACUCACCUGGCAGCCACUCACAGAGCCCGUGGAACUCUGGCCCAAGGCUCUCUGACUCCUUCUCGGCUUAGCGGCUAAAGACUGACACUGCCCGAUCGCCUCGGAAGCCCCGUAGACCAUCACGGACGCCGAGCUUUAGGUAACUCUCACAGUGGAGGAUGAAGAAACUGAGGUCCAGAGAAGUUAAACGACCUUCCUAAGAUUACACAGCUUAGUAAGUGGCAGAACCACAGCUGGAAGCCAGGUCCUUCCUCACGCAAGUCCUGGCUCAUUCAUUCCUCUUCCAAAGACUUGCUGAGCACCUUCUAGGUGCCAGAUGCGGUGCUGGCUCCUGGGGACAUGGGAGUGAACAGGCCAGGCGUGGCCCUGAACCAUCAAAUAGACAACCACAGAAAUAACAACGAAUGAUGCUGGAGGCUGACGAAGAUAAGGGUGGAAAGUGGGCAAUAAAUCAGGAGCUGUUGCAACAUUCCCAGCAAAGGAUAAUGGUGAAUAACAAAGACAAAACCGGGCCCUUCCACACAGUAGCUGGAACACAAAGGAAGAUCAGCCAAGCCUCAACAUAAUCUCAUAAAAAUUCUUCAAAUAUCCCAUUGUUAUGGAUUCAUACAUCAGGAAAGCAGAUGCCAAGAACCUGAACACCUUCUACUGGUAACAUAUAUUUUGGCGAGCCAGCCUGGAGACAAGACCACUAUGGGCAACUUCCUGUCUAUUCUACCUGGUGUCACUGUGGACAACUUCCUAUCUAUUCCACCCGAUUCACCGCUUGGCUACAUCCUCCACCAUUGGGAUGAAUUUGACCCUAACAAUCUAAAGAAAAGGCAUAUGAUUUUUUACUGCAAUAUUGUUUGACACAAUUAUGAGCUGCCCAAUCCGGAACAAUGGGCAGUCAAUGGUAGCCUUAAUUAUGAUACCAUCCUGUAUCUAGACCUAUUUUACAAGAGGCAGGGCAAAUGGUCAGAAGUCCCACAUAUACAGGCCUACAUGACCCUAUACGAAGACCUAAGAAUCUAGGAAACUCCCAGAACCCAUCCCCCGAAGGAAAGUUCUGGGGCAGAACUAGAUAUUAUAGAUGAACCCCCUUUUACAAGGGAUACCUGUCUCUCAGAGUGAGCAGUGACUGUCCCCAUAUAACCCCUCACCAAGUGCUCCUGAGGCUGAAACCCAGGGGCAAACAUGGGGAACCCUACUAAGUCCCCCUCACACUUGGAGGGGAACACUGUAUUCAACUCUCUAUCCAGCCCUGCUACUCUCAGAGAAAUAGCAGGGGCUGAGGGGCCAAUCCUAGUGUGGGUCCCCUUCUCUAUGAUUGAUAUACAACAAUGUAAGGAAAAGCUAGGAAGCUAUUCUGAGGAUUCCGGGAAGUUUGCAGAUGGGUUCCAAACUUUGACCUUAGCCUUUGAUCUCUCAUGGAGAGACGUUCAAUUCACUCUAGCAACCUGUUGCACCUCCUCGGAAAAGGAACGAAUCUUUGAGGCUGCCCUCCGAGAAGUGGACGAAUUAUUCACCCAAAACCGUAAAGGCAGUCACCCAGGCCCAGCCACAGUUCCCACUACGCAUCCUAAUUGAGACCAAGACACCCCCGCAGGAAGGAACAACUGGGCUAAAUUUCUUGAGGCUCUUGGAGGAAUGAGAAAGGGAAUAACUAAGGCAGUAAAUUAUGAUAAAGUAAGGCAGAUUACACAAGGCAGGGAGGAAAACCCAGCUGUGUUUUACGGCAGGCUGCGGGAAGCCUUUAAAAAAUAUAUACUAAUUUGGUCCCUUCCUCUCCUGAAGGCAAGUUAUUAAUGGCACAACGUUUCAUUAGCCAAUCCACACCAGACAUUAGACGUAAGCUCCAAAAGCUACACAUGGGGCCACAAACUAACCAAAAUCAGCUUCUUGGUACUGCCUUCAUGGUGUAUAACAAUCGUGACCUGGAGGAAGGAGAAGGGAAACAGAGUAAAGAAAAACGGCAAGCCAAAAUUAUGUUAGCCAUCACUGGUGAUGCCCUAAAUGCACAAAGAUUGUCCAAGGGAAACUCAAAGGGCCAUAAGGAUAAUGCCAGCAAAGGCUCUUGCUUCAAAUGCAAUAAAAGUGCGAUUGGGCACAGGAAUCCACUAAGCCCCCGCCAGUCCCCUGCCGUCAAUGUAAAAGCACCAGUUGUGGCUCCUGGCCCUGGAGAAUUGACUGUCCCUGCUCCCACCAAGGGGCUCAGUCAGUCAAAACUCUGGCAGUGCACAAGGAGGAAUCAGAUGAAGACUGAAGGGGCCUGGGGCCUUCCUCACUGCCCCGUCUAGGAACAUUGUAAUUACUACUGAGGAACCCUGGGUAACUCUGGACAUCAUGGCCACCCAAAUUCAGUUUUUAUGUGAUACCAAGGUGAAUUAUUCUGUACAACUGCUUAUGCAGGAAAACUUUCCUCCCGGUCCAUGAGUGAUAUUGGAUGGAAGGGAAGCCACAAACAAGAUUCUUACUCCUCCUUUGGUUUGUCAAUUUGAGAAACAAAUCUUCCAACAGGAAUUUUUAGUAGUACCAAGCUGCCCAAUUCCCCUGUGGGAAAGAGAUAUUAUGGUGAAAAUAGUGACACUACUGCAAUUUAAGCAAUAUUAGCAGGUGAAACUGCUAAUAGUAAGAAAUAAGGCAAUGUCCCAGACCAUGUCAAUAAACAGGUUAACCCACUGGCAUGGUAUACUGGAAACCCAGGGAAGGCUAAAACAGCAGUGCCAGUCAAAAUACAGCUUAAAGACCCCAGCCAUUUUCCCAAUGGAAAACAAUACCCAGUUGAACAGGAAGCAAGCAAAGGUCUAGCUCCCAUAGUUGAGAUAUUACUUACCCAUGGACUCUUAAAACCCUGCAAUUCUCCCUGCAAUACCCCCAUCUUACCUGUUCUCAAGCCUGGGGGGAAUACCAGCUAGUACAGAACCUCAGAAUAAUGAAUGAGGCUGUUAUCCCCGUCCACCCAUUGGUGGCAGAUCCAUAUGCCCUCCUGGCUCAGGUGCCAGGGCAUGCAAAAUGGUUCUCAGUCCUAGACCUUUCUUCUCCAUUCCUCUGGCCCCGAGCCCCCCAGUACCUUUUUGCUUUCGAAUGGGAAAAUCCUAAUACCAGAUAAAAACAAUACACUUGGACAGUGCUUCCUCAGGGCUUUCGGGAUAGCCCCCACUUCUUUGCCUGAGCAUUAGAGCGGGAUCUGAGGGAUUUCAAGUUAGAAAAUGGAGGUAUUCUUCAGUAUGGGGAUGACCUUGUGUGUAGCCCAACCUAGGAGGUUUCUGACCAAAAUACUAUAAAAACUUUGAAUUUCCUGGCAGACAGAGGAUACAAAGUGUCCAAAAAGAAGGCUCAGAUUACCCUCCAAUGGGUCCACUAUUUAGGAUAUGUCUUAACACCCGGAACCCGGCAAAUAUCCCCAGAAGGAGUGCAAGCUAUAUGUGGUUUGGCCGCGUGCACCACCCCCAGCCCCCACCCUGACCCACCUCCAAGCAGCAGCUUUGUUCCUUUUUGGGGAUGGCCGGGCUUUGGAGAAUAUGAGUACCAAAUUUUGGGCUCAUAGCAAAGCCCCUAUAUGAAGCAACAAGGGGGCCUGAAAAUGAGCUAAUGGAAUGGACCCCGGAAAUGAGGAAAGCCUUUGCCAAGUUAAAACAGGUUCUCACCCAGGCUCCUGCUCUUGGUAUCCCAGACCUAAUUAAGGCCUUCUCCUUGUAUGUAGCAGAGAAGAGGGGCAUAGCUGUGGGAGUGCUAGCCCAGAAAUUAGGAUCAGAACCCAGACCAACCGCCUACUUCUCAAAAAAGUUGGACGGAGUGGCCUCAGGAUGGCCAAGUUGCCUGCGGGCAAUAGCAGCCACUGCUGUUAGUGGAGGAAGCCACUAAAAUCACCCUAGGGCAACCACUGGAAGUUCUAACGCUCCAUCAGGUAAAGUUAGUCUUAGAAAUAAAGGGACACAUCUGGAUGACAGGGGAAAUGUUAACUAAAUACCAGCCCAUGCUCCUAGACAAUCCAGAUAUAACUCUUAAAACCUGCAACACUUUAAAUCCAGCUUCAUUGCUGCCCACAGGCCCAAUAAUUGAUCAUUCCUGUGAGCAGGUCAUUGCACAUACAUAUGUUAGCCAGCCUGAUUUAAAAGAUGAGGCUCUCCCAGAUUCUGAAGCUGACCGGCUCACAGACGGCAGUAGUUCUUUGUCGAAUGGGGAGCACAGAGCUGGAUAUGCAGCAGUAAAUCAUGACACAAUUAUUGAAGCCCAGCCAGUGCCCCCUGGCACAUCAGCACAAAAGGCUAAAAUCAUUGAUCUUACUCAAGCAUUAAUGUUGGGACAAGGGAAAAAACUUAACAUCUAUACAGAUUCUAAAUAUGCAUUCCUUGUGGUUCAUGCUCAUACCGCCAUCAGGAAAGAAAGGGGAUUACUUACUAGCAAGCACUCCCCUAUAGAGCAUGGACCUGAAAUUCUGCAGCUAUUGAAGGCAAUACACCUGCCAAAGGCCAUAGCUAUCAUUCAUUGUAGGGGGCAUCAAAGGGACUUAACCCCUAUAGCACAAGGGAAUGGAAAGGCUGACGGAAGCCAAAGCAAAAGCCCUCAGCGUGCAAUCCCAACAGAUCCUAGCACUGCUUCCUUUCUACAAUUCCCCAGUAGAACCCAAAUACACACCACAGGAAGAACAGCUAAUAAAAAAAGCAAGGGAGACAAAAACAAGGAUCCUGGUGGCAUAUGGAGCCAAAAAUAUAUCUCCCUCAGGCAGCCCAGUGGAGAGUUAUAAAAGCCCUGCAUGACUCUUUCCAUGUGGGGAGGGAUGCGGCUCUGGCCAUGGUAAACAAGUUCUUUACUGGGUUUAACUCAGCUUCAAUGGCUAAGCAGGUCUGUCAAGCCUGCUCACUGUGUGCAUUUAACAAUCCAGGCAUCAAAAUGCCCCCUCUAAUAAAACCAGUCCAAAGGAGGGGAACUUAUCCAGGGGAAGACUGGCAGUUAGACGUCAUCCAUAUGCCAGCUUGCAGAGGAUACAAGCUUUUGUUAAUACUAAUAGAUACUUUUAGGUUGGGUCAAAGGUUACCCCAGAAAAGGCUAAUGAGGUUCUAAGGUCCUCUUAAAAGAAAUAAUUCCCCAGUUUGGGUUACCUCAGGGUCUCCAAAGUGAUAAUGGCUAAUCCUUUAUCUCCCAAAUAACUCAAGGGGUUGCUAAGGCUCUUGGAAUAAAAUACUAUUUACAUUCAGCCUGGAGGCCCCAAUCCUCUGGAAAAGUGGAAAGGGUUAACCAAACUCUAAAAUAAGCACUAGCUAAACUAUGUCAGGAAACAUCAGAAACUUGGGUUAGCUUAUUGCUCACAGCCCUUUUAAGAAUUUGUAAUACCCCUAGCUCAAAAAUUAACAGAAGCCCAUAUAAAAUGUUAUACAGAAGGCCAUUCUUAACUAAUGAUUUAAUUAUUGACCCAGAAAGAGUUGGUGUAAUUAAAUACCUAGUCAACCCAGAACAAUUCCAGCGGGUUUACAAGAGUUUGGAAUUCAAAGGCUCCUCACACUUGGAACUAACCAGCAACCCAAAAUCAGGCCAGGAGAUAGGGUACUUGUUAAAACAUGGAAUGAGGGAUCACCUGCCCAACAAUUACAACCCCAAUAGAAGGGACUUUUUUCAGUAAUACUGGCCACGUCUUCUGUGGUCAAAGUACUAGUAUUAGAUAGCUGGAUACAUCUUUCAAGGAUCAAACCAUCAAUACCAGAAGCUCCAGACCAGGAACCUGAAGUUCCCAUCAGCCAGUACACCUGUGAACCAGUGGAGGACCUGAAGUACCUGUUUAAAAGAUAGCCAAAAGAUAAGUAAAUGCCUACCAACUUUCUUUGGUGUCUUUGUUGCAUAGUUACUGUGGGCUGGAAAAUAGUAGCCAUUUUUAUCUUUGCAGUUUAAUUGCCUUCUUCCAAAUAGAUAAAAAUCACUUCCUUUGUAAUAAUUAAACAGAAUUUAAAAAAUACAUUUCUAUGACAAAUAUUCCUGAUGGCAUAAGUAUCCACCCCAAGGUUCCCAUUAAAUCUUUUAACCUAAAGUAUUUCCUCUCACCUAGAGAUCAUCGAGCUGUGUGACAAGGGUGCCAGCCACUCCAGGUGAAGACACCACCCCAGGCCAUCAAGGAUCUUCCCUACCUUCACUAAACAGAGCAGGGUGAAAGUUGUGUGAUCCCCAAUAGGUAGGGACUACACCCCAAGUCAGCAGGAAGCAGUUACAGAAGAAAGACCAUUGGUCCCUCUGCUUCCCAUAAAGAUUUAUGGGGAUCACAGCUUUCACGGGGGAGAUGAGGCAAGAGAAUAGGGCAUGCAGGCAGGGUACUUGAGGCCAAUCCACGCUGACUUCCUAGAACUGAAUUAAAUGAAAGCUCCUCAGCAAUGACAGGAAUGUGAAUGGCUUUGUAACUUCUUCCUCUCCAUUAAUGCUAUUUCCACUUUGUAACUUCACUUUCAUCCUCUCCAUUUACAUAGAUCACACACCAAGUAACAUCCUCUCCAUUUACAGUAGGGCGCAUUCCGAGUCAAUGACUCUGACUGCACUUCGUUCUCCUCAUUUACAUAGAACAUUCGCCAAGUAACCAAUGGGAAACCUCUAGAGUAUUGAAACUCCAGAAAAUUCCGUAAGUGGGGCUCUUGAGCGUCUACACUCGGGUCGCUCCCACACUGUGGCGUGUACUUUUAUUCUCAAUAAAUUCCCGCUUUUGCUUUCCUCGUUC
rnacentral:lncRNA from 1 species